rnacentral:rRNA from 1 species
GUACACUCCUGCGGGAGGCAGCAGUGGGGAAUAUUGCACAAUGGGCGCAAGCCUGAUGCAGCCAUGCCGCGUGUAUGAAGAAGGCCUUCGGGUUGUAAAGUACUUUCAGCGGGGAGGAAGGCAAUACGGUUAAUAACCGUGUUGAUUGACGUUACCCGCAGAAGAAGCACCGGCUAACUCCGUGCCAGCAGCCGCGGUAAUACGGAGGGUGCAAGCGUUAAUCGGAAUUACUGGGCGUAAAGCGCACGCAGGCGGUCUGUCAAGUCGGAUGUGAAAUCCCCGGGCUCAACCUGGGAACUGCAUUCGAAACUGGCAGGCUUGAGUCUUGUAGAGGGGGGUAGAAUUCCAGGUGGAGCGGUGAAAUGCGUAGAGAUCUGGAGGAAUACCGGUGGCGAAGGCGGCCCCCUGGACAAAGACUGACGCUCAGGUGCGAAAGCGUGGGGAGCAAACAGGAUUAGAUACCCCGGUAGUCCC